rnacentral:rRNA from 1 species
AGUUUGAUCAUGGCUCAGAUUGAACGCUGGCGGCAUGCUUUACACAUGCAAGUCGAACGGUAACAGGCCGCAAGGUGCUGACGAGUGGCGAACGGGUGAGUAAUGCAUCGGAACGUGCCCAGUCUGGGGGAUAACGCAGCGAAAGCUGCGCUAAUACCGCAUACGAUCUAUGGAUGAAAGCGGGGGACCGUAAGGCCUCGCGCGAUUGGAGCGGCCGAUGUCAGAUUAGGUAGUUGGUGGGGUAAAGGCUCACCAAGCCAACGAUCUGUAGCUGGUCUGAGAGGACGACCAGCCACACUGGGACUGAGACACGGCCCAGACUCCUACGGGAGGCAGCAGUGGGGAAUUUUGGACAAUGGGCGCAAGCCUGAUCCAGCAAUGCCGCGUGCAGGAAGAAGGCCUUCGGGUUGUAAACUGCUUUUGUACGGAACGAAAAGGCUCUGGUUAAUACCUGGGGCACAUGACGGUACCGUAAGAAUAAGCACCGGCUAACUACGUG